rnacentral:rRNA from 1 species
AACAAUGACUUUAGUGGCGGACUGGUGAGUAACGCGUGAGCAACCUGCCUAUCAGAGGGGAACAACAGUUAGAAAUGACUGCUAAUACCGCAUAUGCCUUAGUACCACAUGGCACAAAAGGGAAAAGAGUAAUCUGCUGAUAGAUGGGCUCGCGUCUGAUUAGAUAGUUGGUGGGGUAACGGCUUACCAAGUCAACGAUCAGUAGCCGGACUGAGAGGUUGAACGGCCACAUUGGGACUGAGAUACGGCCCAGACUCCUACGGGAGGCAGCAGUCGGGAAUAUUGCGCAAUGGAGGAAACUCUGACGCAGUGACGCCGCGUGCAGGAAGAAGGUUUUCGGAUUGUAAACUGCUUUAGACAGGGAAGAAAAGACAGUACCUGUAGAAUAAGCUCCGGCUAACUACGUGCC